rnacentral:lncRNA from 1 species
GGAGACUGGAGGUAUUAGAUGAUGCAAAAACAUGGCUGCAGUAAGAUACCAGUCUUGAAAAGUUUUGCCAAAAAAAUGCCUAGUUUUCUUAAUUUCAAUACUGACACCUCCAGAAAUGCAUACAAUUUAACUGUUCUAUUUGUACUUAAUUCCAUACUAUUUUCUCUAAAGGAAGAAUCACCUUUACCCUCAUCUGGAAAGAGAUAAUGUUUCAGAUGUCUUUUCUAAGGACGCUCUUUUAUCUACUCCUGUACUGAAUUUGGAUGUCAGUUCUAAGUUUCUGUUGGGAAAGCUCAGCACGAGGAAAUGAGAAUGGAGCAUUCCUCCAUCCUUUCCAAAUCCCAGAGAAGUUUACAGUCUGGCUUUGUGUAAACUGUGCCUUGUUAAGAGGCAGGAGAUGUGGACAUGAAUCCUGUGGGGAUCAGCCCAGGCUGCCCCAUUCUGGUUCUGUGCCCUUCACCAAAGGAUUGCAGGUAAAACAGCAGUGACACCUGCUUCACUCAUGCUUUGAAUCAACUGUCAGAGGUUGUGUGGGAGCUGAUCUGCUAAAUGUGCUAUGCAAACACUUGCCAGAUAAAGCCCUUCAAAGUGCGGUACAGAGAAGAAACCUAGGAAACUUCUAUGUAAAAACCUAAACGUUGGCAUCCAUUGAUGCUUUAGUGCCUCCAGUAUGAUGUGACAGCAGAAUGAGGUUGUUGCAGGUUAAAAGUUUUUACUUCAGUGUCUAAAUCUCAUGUAAUGUUUGUGCUAGGUGCCUGCAUUCUUUUGCAGAUCUGUGCAAUGCAGAUCUGAAUUUACAGAGCAAGCCAGACCAGUCGGGUGAAGAAGCAAGUUCCCAGAUUUUGAGGAGUUUCUUGAUGACCUAUAAGAACAAGAAGUGAACAUUAUUAAGAAAUCAGCCACAACACAUCUUUGGCACUGCAACUGUCAUUUGUUUCUUACAUCUUGUUCAGUCGUGUUAUAUUCAGUCAAAUUACAAAAUACGUGCUGCCUUAUGCAGAAACAUGAGCAU